GACGAACGCUGGCGGCGUGCUUAACACAUGCAAGUCGAACGGAAAGGCCCUGCUACUGUGGGGUGCUCGAGUGGCGAACGGGUGAGUAACACGUGAGUAACCUGCCCUUGACUUUGGGAUAACUUCAGGAAACUGGGGCUAAUACCGGAUAGGAGCUCCUGCUGCAUGGUGGGGGUGGGAAAGUUUCGGCGGUUGGGGAUGGACUCGCGGCUCAUCAGCUUGUUGGUGGGGUAGUGGCUUACCAAGGCUUUGACGGGUAGCCGGCCUGAGAGGGUGACCGGCCACAUGGGGACUGAGAUACGGCACAGACUCGUACGGGAGGCAGCAGUGGGGAAUAUUGCACAAUGGGCGGAAGCCUGAUGCAGCAACGCCGCGUGCGGGAUGACGGCCUUCGGGUUGUAAACCGCUUUCGCCUGUGACGAAGCGUGAGUGACGGUAAUGGGUAAAGAAGCACCGGCUAACUAGGUG
rnacentral:rRNA from 1 species